UUUGCUACUCUCUUGGAUUUCAAUCGUGAUGAGGACACUAAGAGAAGUCCAGCCAUUCCUCCAGGGACACCCUGCCAGGAACAGUGGGCUCAGACUUUGAAACCCAACUGGCUGACUCGGAGUCGGCGCAGUCAUCGCUCGCGGGAUGCCUCGGUGUGGUCUACAGAUCGGCCACAUCAGAAUCACUCAGGGUGCUUAGUACAAAGGCAGAACCUGGCCCCACCACAGCCCCACUGAAGGAGAAUAUCAGGGGGGUGCGACUGAAGGAAAGCAUUUCUAGCUGACAUCUGAGAUUAUUCUGCCCUGUAAGCUUAAGGGACUCUGCACUAAGCUUCUAACCCCUUCCCUUCUAUAGGGAGGUGCAACUCUACUUAGGACACAUUCUGCAAAGAAUGUACAGCAGGGAAAGCUGGGCCUUGAUUAGGGGCUUGGGAGACAACUGUUAGGUGGAAAAGGGUGGCUCGUAGAUGUAUCAAGUAUCUACUACAUGCUAGGUACUUUGCUUAUCUAUAACCACCCCAUUUUAGAGAACAGAACAUUGAGGCCCACAGGGGCUCAUUACCCUUUACCAGCUCUCAUGACUAGUCAGUGACUGUGGCAUGUAGAAUCACAGUGACUGUGGCAUGUAGGAUUCCCACCCCUGUCCUUGAGUGUACACGUGAACCAUAAAUGUGAUGGGGUAGUCACUCCCAGUCAGGCUAUGUGAUGAGGCAUAGCUGACUUUUAAAAAGGGGGAGUGUCUGGGUGAGCUCCAGCUGGUCACAGGAGCCCUUUCCAUCUGAGUCUAGAGGCCAGAGGCAGAAGGCAGAGAGAUCGGAAGCUUGGCAAGGAUUCAACUGGGGAGAAGGUCUCCAUGGCUGGCUUUGAAGAUGGAGGGGGCACAUCUCAAGGAAUGCAGGUGGCCCCCAGCUGCUGAGAGCAGCUCCCAGCUGAUGGCCAGCAAGAAGACAGUGACCUGAGUCUUAAACGAGGAACUGAAUCCUGCCAGCAACCCAAAUGAGCUUGGAAGCAGAUUCUUCUUAGAAGCAUCCAGAUGAGAACCCCGUCAGCCUGGCUGACACCUUGAAUGUGAGACCCUGAGCUGAGAACCCAGCUGCGCUGUCUAAGAUUUGUGUCCUCCACAAAAUGUAUAUGUUGAAGGCCUUCCCCUUGCAGGUGAUAGUAUUAGGAAGCGGGGUCUUUGGGAGGUGAUUAGUCAUGAGGGCAGAGCCCUUGUGAAAAGGAUCAGUAUCCUUAUGAAAUAGACCCCAGGGCACUAGGUUGGCCCUUCCACCGUGGGAAGACACAGUGAAGAGACUCCAUCUAUGAACCACAAAGUGGGACUCCACCAGACCCCGAAUCUGUUGGGGCCUCCAUCGUGGACAUCCCAGCCUUCAGAACCGCGGGAAGUGUUUGUUGUUGAUAAGUUCCCUAGUUUAUGGAAUUCCCUUACAGCCCCUUGAACAAGACAUCAGCCAAAUGUCUCCUGGAAAACUGAGCUCAUACCUGGCUGGUGCUUGUGGUCAUUGUUAUGCAGCAAUAGAAAACUGAAGCAGUGACUAAAUGAGAACCUGAGGCCAGGUCUGUGUGACCCAAAGGGCCUUGCUUUCCUUGCUGAUUCACAUUGCCAUCCAAAAAUACCAAAACUAGGAACUCGGCUUUGUCAAGAGAGAUACAGAAUUAACUUCCAUUCCACUUCCUCAGAAUUUGUGAUAAACUUCUAUCAUCCCACUAUACAGAUAAGACAACUGAGGUUCAUGGAUAUGAUGCAACUUGACAAAACUCAAAGUUUGUGACCAGAUCAGCCUCUCUAUAUGCCCUCCCCCAACUCUGUGCCCUCCUCCCACCCUCCUACCUCUCUCGGUCCAUCUCUGGCUCCACUCCUCCCCUAGCAUCUUCUCUUUUCUGGGAUGAAUGACAGACAGGCGAGGAAGAUGGCCACUUACCUGGCCUGAGAUGGUCCUUUCUUCUGGGCAAAUGACCAUUAGCUUUACUGGUCCUGGACAAUCUAAGCAGAUGUCUUUUCCACCCGUUCCCACAAUUCCCCACCUUGGUCCCUCCCAUGGAGCCUGGGGCUCUGCUUGGAGACCCAGCCCCUCCAGCCCAUGCCCCACCUACCAUUGGUGUGAGGCAGCAAAGCAGUGGCAUGCAUGACACAUGGCAAAGAAAUGUGACACCACAGAGACACAGUGAAGGAGAGCUUAGCAUUGUUUUGUUUCAUGCUGCUGUUUUAUUGUACAAGGGAACCAAGAGAAGGGAGUAAAGGAGCAUGAAAUGAAACAGGUAUGUUAACAUGAGAACACAAUCACAGGCAUUUUAAUGAAUGGCAAAGCAGGUAGUGCAUAGAGAUGAAAUUCAUUUUCUGUCCUCGGAAUGUGGUUGAGAAUUUGAAAGAGACCUUGGGGCCACCUGAACUCCCACUUCCUGGGAGCAGAAAGGUGAGCAGAGGGCCACAUUUAGGUGCAGCAUGCAGUGUGCAAAGUCCCCUCUUCCAGUGCCUUCCCACUCUCCCCUUCCCCACCGCCCCCAAGCAAAUGUGCAAAGUUAGCCCCAUGGGGAAAACUCUGCCAUGGGUGAACACAUGGCAUGACCCCAUACUGGUCAUCCCAUUUGACACAGUCUAGCACAAGACCUUCUCAGUUAGCAACGACCCUUACUUCAGCCAUGAAACUCCAGACUACAGGAUUGACCAGUCACUACACUGUUGCUGGUCAGUCCUCUCCUAGAAGCUGCAGACAGAGGACAUGACAUCAACUUCUCCCCCUCCUCCCCUCAAAUAUAUCCUAACGUUCUCUGGAGAGCUGGAGGACCGCACUGCAAAAUUCUCAAAGAACAGAGAAGAUAGAUGGUUUGAGAUGACAAUGUUUUAAAUAUCUCUCAGGAAAUGCCUUAAAUAAAGAAUAAUGAUUUACUAUAUUGGACAACACCAACAGCUAGAAGAAAGCACAAGCUUACUCUAAGACUGAAGCUACUAGGUGAUGAUGGUGAUGAUGGUGUAUUAAUGGUGAUGGUGAUGGUGAGGAUGGUGGUGAUGAUAAUAAUAAUGAUAUGGUGAUGAUGGUGAUGAUGGUAGUGGUGGUGAUGUUGAUGGUGAUGAUGAUAGUGAUGAUGAUGAUGAUUGUGUAUUAAUGGUGAUGGUGAUGGUGAGGAUGGCGGUGAUGAUAAUAAUAAUGAUAUGGUGGUGAUGGUGAUGAUGAUAGUGAUGAUGAUGAUGGUGAUGAUGGUAUGAUGGUGAUAGUGAUGGUGAUGGUGGUGAUGGUGAUAAUGGUGAUAGUGAUGGCGAUGAAGGUGGUGACAAUGAUGAUGGUGGUGAUGAUGAUGAUAGCAGCUAGUGUUCGUUGAGGGCUUAUAAUAGGCCAAGAAUUGUCUUAGGUCUUUACUCAUAUUUUGUCCCUGGCCCUUAUAUUUUUACUUAAUAUUCACAAUGAAAGCAGCCUUUUCUCUAAAAGUCAAGUUGGAAAAUGGAACUCUAUAAAGGAAAUCCUUGUACUUACAGAAUAACUUAUAUCCUAGCACAAGCUAUGCACCCCAUGGAUAGAGGGGUUUGUUAAGUUGUUUAAAAUAUAACAUUAAGGAAUUCAAAGGUGUCUAAGGACACGGCAUAAUAGAGAUUUUCAUAGUGAUUUAAAUAUAUCGUUAAUAUUGUCCAAAUAAAUGUUUAUUUUUUAUGCUAUUUGGGAUUUCAACGGGCCCUGUGGGACACAUAGUUUAAACAUUAGCAGGAGAAGCUGCCACCUGCUGGAACAAUAGCAGCAGCCACAGAUGCUUGCAAGCCCUCAGAACCUGCAGUCCCUUCACUACCAAACAUGAGAAUUUCCUGGUGGACUCCAGGGUUGGAAAGCAGAGCACUGGCAUACACUGAUGUUGGGGAGAGGGAGGUGCAAGGUGGAAAAGAGCUGAUACCUGGAGUUGAGAUCAUGGUGCUGAAUAUCUCUGUUGAAUGUUGAGUGGUCAUAACAGAUAGAGGAAAACUGUUAUCAGAGCCUGACCCCUCUAUUCACAGAAGCUGGAACUCUGGAUCCCAGCCUUGGCAGAUUACAAGAAGCAAGAGAGUGAGCAAGAAAGAGAGAGUGAGAGAAGAGGACAGAAAGAAAGGGGGAGGAAAGAGAGAGAGAGCUAUUUCUGAGCAUCCACCCUAAGCCAGACACUCUCUACUAUCAAUAACAUUCUAAGAGAAAUGAUAACUUCAGACAGGUUGAAGGUCAAAGCCACCCAGCUAAAAUAUCAAAACUAUGUCUGCCUAACCCCAAAGUCCACAUUCCUUCCCCUACCAUUCAAGCCUGGCUUCAGAAAAAAAGCUGUUCUCAUACCAUCUAGCUUCAAGGAUUAAAAUUCCUGGAACCACAAGACAGAGAUGUGUUCAUUUAGCGAUGUUUAAGGAUCAACCCUUUACAAGUGCUGUUCUGACUGGAAGCUGAUAGCAAGCGGGUUUCUUAAAGUUCUGCAUCGAAAGUAGUCAAUGACUGCUGGAAGACAACACCUCCCUCUUUCCCGUGGCCAUCCCACAGCAUUUCCCAUUGACAAAGUUGCUGGGAAUUCCAAAGUUUUCCUGAAUGGCUGCUUGGCUGACCAAGGAGUAUCAUGGAAUGUACAUCUCUCUCUAUGCCACCUUUGAACAUACAGAAACUUCCAUAUAAGGAGAGGAGACACUUCUUCCCUCUCCUAGCUUGACAACCUUCUACUCAACUGUUUGGUUCAGCAUCCAUCAUCACUGCCUCACAGUGAUUGUCAAGCACUUGUUUGGUUCAACACUUCAGGGACUUCUCCUGCAGUCACAUGGCCUUGCUUCUGUAGCCACACUGCCCUCCUCCUGCAAUGCUCUCAGCAAAUGCCUCAAAUAUUCCCUAAUCAUUAAAAUUGAUCUUACCUUAACUUAGCCUUCAGCUUCCUUCCCUUCCACUUCCAAAUCUCUCUGAGUUGCAACAUCAGAGAGUAAACUAUUCCUCUCCAAAACCAAUCUUGGCUUUGGUCUGAUCCCCUCCAAUUUUUUCCAGGCUUUCUCUUAUCAAUUAUUCUUUAUUUUAUCUCCCCACCUCCCCAGGAUCAUCCCCUCAUUUGGCAAACACCCCCACCUCACGCUGUCCUUUGGAAAUGCCUCCUCUCAACCCUCCAUUAUCUAAGUUACCACUAUAUCUCUCGCCUUCCUCCCAAACUACUUGAAAUGGUAAUCUACACACACAGCUCACUCUCCUUACUUCCAACAUCUUCUCCUUUAUUCCCACAAAAGUGACUUCUUCCUUCACUAUUCUGCUGAAAUCACCCACUCAAAAUCCCCAGUGAUUUCCUUACUGCUAAAUCCAGUGGCCUCUGCCAGUCCUUGACAUGCUCAACUUCUUGAUUCGGCACGGCAGGAUGGGCUAUGCUACAGCAACUCCAAACUCUCUGUGACUUCUUAUAAUAAAGGUCUGGUUUUUUGUUCACAUAAAGUCCUGUGUGGGCCAGGAGGGACUCCCAGGUCCACAGCAGGGGAUGAGAUGGAGGUGGAGCCCCAUGCUCUGAUCCACCUCAGCAGAGCCCAUGUCUAUUGGCCACAACUAGACAUGUGGCCCCAGCUAAUUGCAGGGUGGCUGGGAAGUGGAAGGGUGCCCAGGGACUAUCCAGUAGGCACUGUCUCUGCUCAACGCUGCUGGCCACCCACCCGUAUCCCCCACCCAUCUUCUCAGGGAGGCGUCCUAACAGCUCUGCCACUCCGUUCUUAACUCUUCUCUCUCCUCUUACACCUUUAAAAUGUGGCCUCGUCCAAGCUUCCCUCUUAGCCUUCUUUUCUCUCUCCAUCCACUCUCUGGCCCUCAAGUUCCAUCCACUGUCACAUCUUCAACAGUCAAUUCUGGAUCAAUGAACCCAUCUAAAAUUACUCCCCUUCCUUAAUUCAGAGUUACUCGAACCUACUUUCCUUUCCUUCAGAGCACUUAUUUAUUAUCUACUGCCUGUCCCCGCACCCCCAGCUAAAAUGCAAACUCGAUGAAAUAAGACUUGAUGAUCUUAUUCAGUUCUGCAUCCGUUAUGCCUAGAACAGGAAUGGAUUAGAAAUCUCCCUCACCAGAAGCACAUUUUCAACCUCGUGUUGGGACUUAGGAGUAGGGGGAGGAUCCAGGUAAAAAAGGACUUGAAUGCUUGACUUCAUGACACUGUAAAAUCGUUGCCCAGGCUGAAGUGCAGUGGCGCGAUCUCAGCUCGCUGCAACUUCUGCCUCCCGGGUUCAAGCGAUUCUC
rnacentral:lncRNA from 10 species